CGGUGGAUUCCCCAGUCAUGGUAUAAUCGAAAUACCCCCGACUGAAUAUGGAGGGGCGGUGGAUUUCCCAGUCAUGGUAUAAUCGAAAUACCCCCGACUGAAUAAGGUUAAGUUAAUUAGUGUAGCAGCCAAAAGAUGACGCUUAUUAAACGCCGCCGCCAUAUUGAAAAAAGAUUUCACCCAGUUGACAUACGUUCUCUACGUAACAUAUGAAAACAAAGCUCUACCUUCAUGUCAACAACGUACGUUUCUUCCAAUUUGCUUAAUAACUCACAAGAUAUUUAGGGGAUAGAGCGGGUUAAAUAAACGGAAAGUAAAGUAAAAUGAAAGUUUUAUUUUUUAAAUCAAUCAGUAAUUUAUGGAGCAAGUAAAUACGGUUAAUUUUCUUUUUGGUUAUGACGCGGUGACAUAUCUUAUUUAAAGCAUGAACCCCUUAAAAUUCUUUAAGCAACAUAUAAAUUUAGGAGAGAUAUAUUAAGGUUAUGCAAUCAUACCAAGCUUGUUCAAGCAUUGUCCAAGGUUCCUUUUGUUUUGCCAAUAUAUUUUGAUGUAGCAAACAGGACAAUUAGACACUCGUAAGCAACAGAAGAUUUUUACAAAUAGAGCAAUGUGUUCGUAAUUAGCUCACAUCACAUGUGGGAGAAAUGAUUUGAUACGUCAUGCUUUCGUUCUCAAGUUACAAAAGACUUUGUUUGUUUGUGGUGUUUGUUUAGUUUUUUUACGUUCAGUGAAUAUUUAAAGUUUUGUUUUCAAGACAACUAUUUGAUAAUAUUUAGGAAGUCAUUUAGUACGUGAUCAAAAUGACGAAUAACACAGUUGCAAUUCCAAAGAAGCAGCUAUUUGAGAAGGCUGUCGUGGUCCAACCUGGCGGAGUCUAUGUAAACGUCAAAGGAGAUACUUGUUUGGCAUUCUCAGUUGCGUUACUGAUGGCUGUUGUGGCAAUGUGGGCAAUUUGGGUAGCUAAUAGAAAAUGUUAUUUUUGAUCGACAACGUAGUAACAUUAAAAUAAAAGACUAAAUUACCACACGUUUUAAAUACUUGGUGAUGAUUGGUUUAGGUAUACACGUUACCCACGAAAUAAGACAAAGUGUUAAUCUUUUGUAUAGUUUUGACAGAUAAAGCCCUUGAUACUGUCGUGUUUUAAAAUGGUACUUAAACAAUACUUAAAGUCGAUUUAGUUUUUGAAGGUUAGAAUUUGCAUUUAAAUUUAUUUAAAAAUUGCACUUUCCGAAGGAGAGAAUUUAAACAACUGUUAUGAUUCAUAUUUUACAGUUAAAAUAUUCACAUUGAAAAAUAUAAAUGGGUUUUAGUA